rnacentral:rRNA from 1 species
UGGGGAAUAUUGCACAAUGGGCGAAAGCCUGAUGCAGCAACGCCGCGUGAGUGGUGAAGGUCUUCGGAUUGUAAAGCUCUGUCUUUUGGGACGAUAAUGACGGUACCAAAGGAGGAAGCCACGGCUAACUACGUGCCAGCAGCCGCGGUAAUACGUAGGUGGCGAGCGUUGUCCGGAUUUACUGGGCGUAAAGGGUGCGUAGGCGGAUGUUUAAGUGAGAUGUGAAAUACCCGGGCUUAACUUGGGUGCUGCAUUUCAAAUUGGAUAUCUAGAGUGCAGGAGAGGAGAAUGGAAUUCCUAGUGUAGCGGUGAAAUGCGUAGAGAUUAGGAAGAACACCAGUGGCGAAGGCGAUUCUCUGGACUGUAACUGACGCUGAGGCACGAAAGCGUGGGUAGCAAACAGGAUUAGAUACCCUGGUAGUCCACGCCGUAAACGAUGAGUACUAGGUGUAGGAGGUAUCGACCCCUUCUGUGCCGCAGUAAACACAUUAAGUACUCCGCCUGGGAAGUACGAUCGCAAGAUUAAAAC